rnacentral:rRNA from 1 species
CAGUCGCCGCGGGAACACGAAGGGUGCAAGCGUUAAUCGGAAUUACUGGGCGUAAAGCGCGCGUAGGUGGUUUGGUAAGAUGGAUGUGAAAUCCCCGGGCUCAACCUGGGAACUGCAUCCAUAACUGCCUGACUAGAGUACGGUAGAGGGUGGUGGAAUUUCCUGUGUAGCGGUGAAAUGCGUAGAUAUAGGAAGGAACACCAGUGGCGAAGGCGACCACCUGGACUGAUACUGACACUGAGGUGCGAAAGCGUGGGGAGCAAACAGGAUUAGAUACCCGAGUAGUCCCUGUCUCUUAUAC